rnacentral:rRNA from 1 species
GAACUUACUAAUUGGAGGAGUACCGCUGAUCAUCCCGCUCCCGGUAAAACGGGACGGCCCGCCAGAGGACCCCUAAAACUCUGUUUCUAUAUGUAACUUCUGAGUAAAACCAUAAAUAAAUCAAAACUUUCAACAACGGAUCUCUUGGUUCUGGCAUCGAUGAAGAACGCAGCAAAAUGCGAUAAGUAAUGUGAAUUGCAGAAUUCAGUGAAUCAUCGAAUCUUUGAACGCACAUUGCGCCCGCCAGUAUUCUGGCGGGCAUGCCUGUUCGAGCGUCAUUUCAACCCUCAAGCACAGCUUGGUGUUGGGACUCGCGUUAAUUCGCGUUCCUCAAAUUGAUUGGCGGUCACGUCGAGCUUCCAUAGCGUAGUAGUAAAACCCUCGUUACUGGUAAUCGUCGCGGCCACGCCGUUAAACCCCAACUUCUGAAUGUUGACCUCGGAUCAGGUAGGAAUACCCGCUGAACUUAAGCAUAUCAAUA